CAUGCAAGUCGAGCGGAAAGGCCCUUCGGGGUACUCGAGCGGCGAACGGGUGAGUAACACGUGAGCAACCUGCCCUAGGCUUUGGGAUAACCCUCGGAAACGGGGGCUAAUACCGGAUAUUACUGCUGGACGCAUGUUUGGUGGUGGAAAGUUUUUCGGCCUGGGAUGGGCUCGCGGCCUAUCAGCUUGUUGGUGGGGUGAUGGCCUACCAAGGCGACGACGGGUAGCCGGCCUGAGAGGGCGACCGGCCACACUGGGACUGAGACACGGCCCAGACUCCUACGGGAGGCAGCAGUGGGGAAUAUUGCACAAUGGGCGGAAGCCUGAUGCAGCGACGCCGCGUGAGGGAUGACGGCCUUCGGGUUGUAAACCUCUUUCAGCAGGGACGAAGCGCAAGUGACGGUACCUGCAGAAGAAGCGCCGGCCAACUACGUGCCAGCAGCC
rnacentral:rRNA from 1 species